GAGUAAACGUGUGACAGAUAUCGUAGAAUAGAAAAAGAAGUGUGUAAUAGGCAAAAAAAGAAAUGUUUAAUAUAAAUUUUACUUAGAAUUCAUACACGCAAAGGAAGCUGUCGGAACAGAUUUAAUUCCCGUUCAUUAGAUUCGUCGCCUUACUGAAUACGAUAUUCUCGAGUUCGCGGUUCAAGGGAAAGCGAAGAAUUCUGGUGGGGUCGAGAGUGUCACGUAAAAUAAAAAACAGGGGGCUCGAACGAAAAGAAAAAAUUAAGGUAA